GCCAAAGUGGUGUAGAGGUUUGAGUGUUGGACUAUAACUCUGGAGACCAAGGUUCAAAUCCCAGCUCAGCCA